UACGUAGGGGGCAAGCGUUGUCCGGAUUUAUUGGGCGUAAAGAGCGUGUAGGCGGCCAGGUAGGUCUGCUGUGAAAACUCGAGGCUUAACCUCGAGCUGUCGGCGGAAACCACUUGGCUAGAGUCCGGAAGAGGAGAGUGGAAUUCCCGGUGUAGCGGUGAAAUGCGCAGAUAUCGGGAAGAACACCCGUGGCGAAGGCGGCAUCCUGGACCAACACUGACACUGAGGAGCGAAAGCCAGUGGAGCAAACGGG
rnacentral:rRNA from 1 species